rnacentral:rRNA from 1 species
UUUGGAAAUCUGGCACCUUCGGUGUCCGAGUUGUAAUUUGAAGAAGGUAACUUUGGAGUUGGCUCUUGUCUAUGUUCCUUGGAACAGGACGUCACAGAGGGUGAGAAUCCCGUGCGAUGAGAUGUCCAACUCUAUGUAAAGUGCUUUCGAAGAGUCGAGUUGUUUGGGAAUGCAGCUCUAAGUGGGUGGUAAAUUCCAUCUAAAGCUAAAUAUUGGCGAGAGACCGAUAGCGAACAAGUACAGUGAUGGAAAGAUGAAAAGAACUUUGAAAAGAGAGUGAAAAAGUACGUGAAAUUGUUGAAAGGGAAGGGUUUGAGAUCAGACUUGGUAUUUUGUAUGUCUUGCUUUCGGGUGGGGCCUCUGCAGUUUACUGGGCCAGCAUCGGUUUGGACGGUAGGAUAAUGACAUUGGAAUGUGGCACUACUUCGGUGGUGUGUUAUAGACUUUGUUGAUACUGCCUGUCUAGACCGAGGACUGCGUCUUUGACUAGGAUGCUGGCAUAAUGAUCCUAAACCGCC